AAAUUAAAUGUUGGAGUGAGAGAGAUGCAAGAGAAAGGGUUGAGAGGAAUGAGGAAGGUGAGUAAGGGUUUGCGAGUUUUUUUUUUUUUUUUNUUAGUUUUGAGAAUGAAAAUUAUUUAAAUAUCCUUGACCUUAAAACUUAGAAUUCAUGAUAAAUGAGGGUAUUUUUGUCUACUAUAACCCGGUACACAUUGUUAAAAACGUACCAACUGAAAAACAGACGUACACG
rnacentral:lncRNA from 1 species